UACGAAGGGGGCCAGCGUUGUUCGGAAUUACUGGGCGUAAAGCGCGCGUAGGCGGUUUUCCAAGUCGGGCGUGAAAGCCCCGGGCUCAACCCGGGAAAUGCGCUCGAAACUUGAAGACUGGAGGCCGGAAGAGGGUAGUGGAAUUCCCAGUGUAGAGGUGAAAUUCGUAGAUAUUGGGAAGAACACCAGUGGCGAAGGCGGCUACCUGGUCCGGAUCUGACGCUGAGGCGCGAAAGCGUGGGGAGCAAACAGG
rnacentral:rRNA from 1 species